GAUCAUGCUCAGGAUGAACGCUAGCUACAGGCUUAACACAUGCAAGUCGAGGGGCAGCAUUUCAGUUUGCUUGCAAACUGAAGAUGGCGACCGGCGCACGGGUGAGUAACACGUAUCCAACCUGCCGAUAACUCCGGGAUAGCCUUUCGAAAGAAAGAUUAAUACCGGAUGGCAUAUGAUUAUCGCAUGAUAAUCCUAUUAAAGAAUUUCGGUUAUCGAUGGGGAUGCG
rnacentral:rRNA from 1 species